GUUAAUGUGGCAGAGCCCGGUACUGCCAAAGGCCUAAGCCCUUUACACAGGGGUUCAAGUCCCCUCCUUAACU
rnacentral:tRNA from 1 species